UACGGGGGGUGCGAGCGUUGUCCGGAAUCACUGGGCGUAAAGGGCGCGUAGGCGGUCUGUCGCGUCGGCUGUGAAAACCUGCAGCUUAACUGUGGGCGUGCGGUCGAUACGGGCAUCACUGGAGUUCGGCAGGGGAGACUGGAAUUCCUGGUGUAGCGGUGAAAUGCGCAGAUAUCAGGAGGAACACCGGUGGCGAAGGCGGGUCUCUGGGCCGAUACUGACGCUGAGGAGCGAAAGCGUGGGGAGCGAACAGG
rnacentral:rRNA from 1 species